ensembl:lncRNA
UGCAGCCUGACCUUUGACCUCAUUAUUAGAAACCAUGAACAGCAGGACAGAAAAAAGGAGCUGGACAUUAUUUCAUUUUAUUGUUCAAAAACAAAGAGUGUGACACACACCUAAAAUCACUGAAACCAAACCAAAAAAUUACAACAAACAUGGUUAACAAGAAUGUCAUCAGCCAAUCAGAGGAGGCGCUGCAUUGUGACAGAGCAGGGGGAGAUGGUCACCUGACCAUCCUGCAGGUCUCUGUGAACCAGGUAAGUCUGUCUGUGCACACCUGUCUGUCUCUCUGUGGCAACAGCAGCCUCAAACCUAUCAAUUAUCUGUGAAGUCCCGCCCCCAGCCUUAGUGAGGCCACCAGCCUUCAUUCUUCCUUUCCUUUGUGUGGGUUUGGUUGCUGCACUCUGAUUGGCUGCUCUAAGACCACGUGACGGCUCCUCUGACUCCAGCAGGUAUCUGAUUGGUGGGCCAACUCUAGUCCUCCGCUGCCGCUGAGACUCCUCCCCAUUCUCGUCGUUACCCUGGGUUCCUUCUUUCAGUUUGCUAUCAGAAGCUCGAGCACUGCUCAUGGCCAUGCCAACUCUGUUGCCGUGGGGACUGUCUAAGAUGCUGCGGUGCUGAUCGCAAUGAUGCAGGAACAGUCUGCUGGCACGGCUGAACUUUCUGUUGCAGAUGUGACAGCCGAACAGUCGCUUUGGUCUGUGGACGGACGGGUGGAAGACAGACGCCUGGAGAGGGGAAAGGUUAGGCAAAGGUCAUGUGAGCGUUGGGUUAAUUAAAACUAACUAAAGACAAAAGGUGCAGAAAAGUCUGGCUGAAGGUCGGGAAAGAAGAGGUUUCUAUGGUUACCUACUCGGAACCACUCGCCACGUCUGGUUUUCCACUACAAUCUGGUAAGUACCAAAUGUACGUGGUUGUUGUUAUAGCAACGUGCCCGAGUGUCCCCUGACGUGAUUAAUGUGCAACUCCAAUAACGGUGGAUGUCCAGGCGAUGAUGGACCUGCUACUCGGUUUGUGGCGUCAGACUCAGGUACACAGCGUUGCUUUUGUAGCCAUUUCUGUUGCUGCCCGACUUCAAAAAUGGCGCUUUUCAUUUUUUGCGAAUGAGACGCUGUCACGACUCAUCGAGGGAAGCAACUGACCGGCCAAUUGGGGGGAAAUUUUAGUAUUUGCUCGAAUCACUUGGAACGCCAGCCAAACAGCACCCGGUACCAGGAACUAUGACCUAAUGGGCAACCCCGAAAACCACGGCGAGUCGAUCCGAGUAGGUACUAAUGAAAAAGAGGCUGUAGUAACAGGUAAAGUUCAAGUAAAGGUCAGAAGACAUGGGCUUGUGUUCUGUAUCCUGAUUGGAUGUUUCUAAAAUAUGUGUUAUCACCUCUGACUCUAGAAGGCGUCUGAUUGGUGGACUGACCGUCUUUCCUGGUCUCUGAGGCUCCUCCUCUUCCUGUCUUCCUCCCGUUGAGACCGUGUGACCCAUUUCUUUAUCUUCAGUAUCAGAACAGUCAGUCAUCUUUGAAGCCCCGCCCCCAGCCUCAUUGAAGUCAAAAACAUUUUUUGAUCUUCGCCUGUACUGUGUGGGUUUGUUUUCUGCGUCCUGAUUGGAGAUUCUGAGACCACCUGAUGUUUCCUCUGACUCCAGGAGGCCAACCAACGUCCUCUUUGGCCUGUAAGGCUCCUCCUCUCCUUCCUCUCUUCCUCCUGUUGUGACCAUGUGACCUGUGUCUUUAGCAUUAGUCUCAGGCCUGUCAAUCACCUCUGAAGCCCUGCCCCCAACAGCAUCUUUUGAUCUUCCUCUCCUUCUUGUGGGUUUGGUAGCUGCCUCCCGAUUGGUCUGAUUGGCUGUUACAGAACCAUGUGAUGACUCCAGUAGGUACCUGAUUGGUUGGCAGACUGUCCUCCUUGGCCUCUGAGGCUCCUCCCUCUCCUCUGCAUCACCCUUCGCGUCAUUGGUUUGUUCUUGCUGUUGGUCAGCAGCAGCUUGUGCGCAGCUCGAAGCCGGUCUGUGGACGGACAGAUGGAGAUCCAGAGACGGCUGGCUGGUGAAGUUCAGACCACACACCUGGAGACAGGUAAAGUUGAAGGUCAAAGGUCAGAGAAACGAAGGUGAUGUGAUGUUCAAGUGAAGGACUGACCUGGCAGAGCUUCCACCAUCUCUCUGCUCCUCCGUCUGCUGAGGACUCCAUUGUGCUGCUGUCAUCCAGCUCCUUCUGCUCCUUCUUCGGCCUCCCCGUCUUCCUCCUCCCCACGUCUCUGCUUGCUCUGCUGUGAUUGGCCUCUGUUGGCCCAUGUGACUGCUGCUCAGACUCCAGCAGGUAUCUGACUGUCGGACCGACCAUUCUCCUCCUCGGUCUCUGACACUCCGCCUCCUCAGUCUUCAUUAUGACAGAUUUGACUCUUCCCCCUUCUUUCAUGGUCUCCUCCCCUCCCCUCUCCUCCUCCUCCUGCCCCUCGUUCUUCUUCCUCUCUUGGAUCCAGGUUGUUUGUUUCUCUCCUCGCUUGCUGGUGUGGGACUCCUCAUCCUUCUCCAGAAGUUUCAUCUUUAGUCUCCUCCUCUUCCCGGGUGGUUUUCCUGCGAUGUGAUUGGUCGAUUUGUCAGCCAGUGAUGACUUUUGUCUUUCACCUCCAUCAGGCCACCUCCCCCCCUCCAUCUUCGUCUUUUCUUUAAAUGCCAUGCUCUCAGAGCAGAGUCGCUCC